rnacentral:misc_RNA from 1 species
AUCCAAAAUUGGAUAUGUUCUAGCCUAGGCAAUUCUUGAAUUCAUAUCUUGUAACACAUCUAGAUUUAAAUGGUGCUUUGGUUCACAACAUUCAAACCACAGAACAUAAAGUCGUUCCUCAAUACAAGUUGCCUAUAGCAAACAGCAUUCUAAUAUGUAUGAUUUAAUUAAAAUCCUCUGCAAAGUACAUAUGGCUGUAUACAAUAUUUUUG